rnacentral:rRNA from 1 species
UGCAGUCGAACGAUGAACUGGAGCUUGCUCCAGGGAUUAGUGGCGAACGGGUGAGUAACACGUGAGUAACCUGCCCUUGACUCUGGGAUAAGCGCUAGAAAUGGCGUCUAAUACCGGAUACGAGCUUCAGCCGCAUGGCUAGGAGUUGGAAAGAAUUUUGGUCAAGGAUGGACUCGCGGCCUAUCAGCUAGUUGGUGAGGUAAUGGCUCACCAAGGCGACGACGGGUAGCCGGCCUGAGAGGGUGACCGGCCACACUGGGACUGAGACACGGCCCAGACUCCUACGGGAGGCAGCAGUGGGGAAUAUUGCACAAUGGGCGAAAGCCUGAUGCAGCAACGCCGCGUGAGGGAUGACGGCCUUCGGGUUGUAAACCUCUUUUAGUAGGGAAGAAGCGAAAGUGACGGUACCUGCAGAAAAAGCACCGGCUAACUACGUGCCAGCAGCCGCGGUAAUACGUAGGGUGCAAGCGUUGUCCGGAAUUAUUGGGCGUAAAGAGCUCGUAGGCGGUUUGUCGCGUCUGCUGUGAAAUCUGGGGGCUCAACCCCCAGCCUGCAGUGGGUACGGGCAGACUAGAGUGCGGUAGGGGAGAUUGGAAUUCCUGGUGUAGCGGUGGAAUGCGCAGAUAUCAGGAGGAACACCGAUGGCGAAGGCAGAUCUCUGGGCCGUAACUGACGCUGAGGAGCGAAAGCAUGGGGAGCGAACAGGAUUAGAUACCCUGGUAGUCCAUGCCGUAAACGUUGGGAACUAGAUGUGGGGGCCAUUCCACGGUCUCCGUGUCGCAGCUAACGCAUUAAGUUCCCCGCCUGGGGAGUACGGCCGCAAGGCUAAAACUCAAAGGAAUUGACGGGGGCCCGCAC